UACGUAGGGUGCGAGCGUUAAUCGGAAUUACUGGGCGUAAAGGGCGCGUAGGCGGUCGUGACAAGUCACUUGUGAAAUCUCCGGGCUUAACUCGGAACGGUCAAGUGAUACUGUCGGACUAGAGUACAGAAGGGGCAACUGGAAUUCUCGGUGUAGCGGUGAAAUGCGUAGAUAUCGAGAGGAACACCUGCGGCGAAGGCAGCUUGCUAGGCUAUAUCUGACACUGAGGUACGAAAGCGUGGGUAGCGAACGGG
rnacentral:rRNA from 1 species